rnacentral:rRNA from 1 species
GUGUCAGCCGCCGCGGUAAUACGGAGGGUGCGAGCGUUGUCCGGAAUCACUGGGCGUAAAGGGCGCGUAGGCGGCUACUUAAGCGUGUGGUGAAAGUCCGGGGCUCAACCCCGGAUCGGCCGUGCGAACUGAGUGGCUCGAGCACUGUAGAGGCAGGUGGAAUUCCGGGUGUAGCGGUGGAAUGCGUAGAGAUCCGGAAGAACACCGGUGGCGAAGGCGGCCUGCUGGGCAGUGGCUGACGCUGAGGCGCGACAGCGUGGGGAGCAAACAGGAUUAGAUACCCCCGUAGUCC